UGAGGAAUUUUCGUCAAUGGGGGAAACCCUGAACGAGCAACGCCGCGUGCAGGAAGAAGGUUUUCGGAUCGUAAACUGCUUUUCUCGGGGAAGAGAACGGACGGUACCCGAGGAAUAAGCCCCGGCUAACUACGUGCCAGCAGCCGCGGUAAUACGUAGGGGGCAAGCGUUGUCCGGAUUUAUUGGGCGUAAAGCGCACGCAGGCGGUCUCUUAAGUUUUGAGUGACAGGUGGUGGCUCAACUACCACAGGCCUUGGAAAACUGGGAGACUUGAGGACUUCAGAGGGAUGCGGAAUUCCAGGUGGAGCGGUGAAAUGCGUAGAGAUCUGGAAGAACACCAAAGGCGAAGGCAGCAUUCUGGGAAGUAACUGACGCUCAUGUGCGAAAGCUAGGGGAGCGAACGGGAUUAGAUACCCCUGUAGUCC
rnacentral:rRNA from 1 species